GUCUAUGACAAUACCAUUGUGAGAGUGCCUGGCCUCAUCAGAUCUUGGAAGCUAAGCAGAGCCAGACUUGGUUAGUACUUAAAUGGGAGACUGCUUAGGAAUGCUGGUUGCUUAUAAAAU
ensembl:rRNA 5S_rRNA 5S ribosomal RNA